AAAUAAGUUUCCAGGGAAGAUCACGAAAGAGCUGUGUGAUUUACCUCUGUACCAACACGCUGUGGUGACCUGCAUGUACCGUCUGUGCUACAAAUGACAGGCUCAGAGAAGAUGGAUGUGCUGGGGCUUUGCUGUCACCAGAACUGACUACAUGAAUAGCGAAUGAUUGAAGCACAGUUAUUUUUCUUUCAGAGCCCAGUGGAUGGACUAAUUGGAAGUGGGAUUGCUAAAGUGAAUCAUGACUAUUCACCAGCUUUUAAACUCCAUCCAGGAUCAUAGAACACAGGGUAAGUCCCACUUGCUCCUCUGUUAGGCAGAACAUGUGCCUACAUGAUUUUCCAGCUCCACCCUUC
rnacentral:lncRNA from 1 species